AAUGAGUGAGUGAAACUCGGCGUCAUACGGCAUCUGACAUUGAUGAGAAAUUGAGAAUUUGCGCAUUGGCCGACGAAGUUUCGGUGUUGUAUGUUUGAGUGCAAUCGACGAUGGCAAAAUUGGAAUGCUUAUUCUAUCCAUGUCCAUCCAUUUCCCACAGCAGCCGCCGCCCCGUGGUACUCGCUCCCGAGCGCCUCCGCUCGCUCCUUCCAUCCAGCGCCCGCGUCGCCAGGUGAAGCUCGAUCCCGAGCUGCGCGUCCCCCUCUGAACCGCUCGUUGGUCACCGGAGCCCAUUGCCAUGGCAGCCCAAGGAAGCUCCAGUUCAGCCGCCAUCUACGGUGGAGCCAAGCUCGACCCAGAACGCCGCCACCCUGCCAGAGCUCCCCGCCACCGGAUCUGCGUCGCCCCUCCUCGGAUCUGUCCAUCCACGCUGCUACGAGCCCCGUCUGCCAUCGUGUCCUUCACAUGCCUCCUGCACCGCCGCGGAGGAGCAGCGCCUCGUCCAGUUCGUCUGUUAUCAAGACUUUGGAGUGAUGUAUGCAUCAGGUGCGAUUUGUUUUUUGUACUGCUAGAAUAGUGUGGGUGGUAGUUGUUCCCAGAACCCACUAACAUACCGGGCACUAUGCAUCUACUGUACCAUGUAGAUUGAUUCACUGUAAGUGUGGGAUUUACAACCUUCACUGAUUAUAAUUAACAAGGACAAACACCAAUUAUAGUUCUAUUCCCUGAUGUAGUACUAUAGUUUGUUUUGCGUUAUUGGAAAUUUGUGGUACGAAUGUGAGGUUGGGGAAAAUGAGUGGCAAUAAUAUCAGGUUUCUUUUUCUG